GACGAACGCUGGCGGCGUGCCUAAUACAUGCAAGUCGAGCGAAUCUUGAGGUGCUUGCACCUCUUGGUUAGCGGCGGACGGGUGAGUAACACGUGGGCAACCUGCCUGUAAGACUGGGAUAACUUCGGGAAACCGGAGCUAAUACCGGAUAAUCCUUUUCCUCUCAUGAGGGAAAGUUGAAAGUCGGUUUACGCUGACACUUACAGAUGGGCCCGCGGCGCAUUAGCUAGUUGGUGAGGUAACGGCUCACCAAGGCGACGAUGCGUAGCCGACCUGAGAGGGUGAUCGGCCACACUGGGACUGAGACACGGCUCAGACUCCUACGGGAGGCAGCAGUAGGGAAUCUUCCGCAAUGGACGAAAGUCUGACGGAGCAACGCCGCGUGAGCGAUGAAGGCCUUCGGGUCGUAAAGCUCUGUUGUUAGGGAAGAACAAGUAUCGGAGUAACUGCCGGUACCUUGACGGUACCUAACCAGAAAGCCACGGCUAACUACGUGCCAGCCGCCGCCGUAAAAC
rnacentral:rRNA from 1 species